rnacentral:rRNA from 1 species
CGUCCCCCACGCCUCUCCUUGUUCCCAGCCUCUUCUCUCUCUCUCUCUCCCUUAUCCUCUUCUCUCUCUCCCGUCCCCCACGCCUCUCCUUGUUCCCAGCCAAGAUCCACCUCCACCUACCGCCGUUCCCCAAGCCGCUGACGAGCACCAGCCAACGCCAUGGACGGCUGCGGAGCUUCGCGCCACCCGACGUCAACCGCAUCGCCGCCCCAAGGGAUCCGUGCGCGUGGCCGCGUUGAGCCGCACAUGCGCUAGAUCCAUCCGCCGGUGUGUGCCACCGUAGCAACAGGUUCGGCAAUGACUCUCGGCCCUGCCGCUUCAUUGCUCCUUCCCAAGCCGGCCUCCACUUUCUGACCCCGCCACCGGCGAGCUGUCAUGCCCGUCCUCGUCGCACUGGUGCUGUCCUCCAGUAUGCUUGCUGGCUGCGACCAGAGCCCUGUAUAUAUUUGGUUCGGUUGCAGUGCUGCUACUUCCCGGUGGAUCUAGGCUGCCCAGGCUAGCAACGUGUGUGUUGCUUUCUUGAUGGGUUUUAAGUGGAUCUUAAUUUGAUGUAUCCUGGCACUUGUCCGUGUGUAAAUCUGAUGUGUAGAACACUUAGAAGUUGCUACUCGUAGGAUAUUCUUGCUCGUAUGUGUACACAUGAAGAAUGGCUAGCUUGUAGAUCCGUUUUCUUUUUGUUAAAGAAAUAUACAUUCAUUUUUA